GAUGAACGCUGGCGGCGUGCCUAAUACAUGCAAGUCGAGCGAACAGACGAGGAGCUUGCUCCUCUGACGUUAGCGGCGGACGGGUGAGUAACACGUGGAUAACCUACCUAUAAGACUGGGAUAACUUCGGGAAACCGGAGCUAAUACCGGAUAAUAUAUUGAACCGCAUGGUUCAAUAGUGAAAGACGGUUUUGCUGUCACUUAUAGAUGGAUCCGCGCCGCAUUAGCUAGUUGGUAAGGUAACGGCUUACCAAGGCAACGAUGCGUAGCCGACCUGAGAGGGUGAUCGGCCACACUGGAACUGAGACACGGUCCAGACUCCUACGGGAGGCAGCAGUAGGGAAUCUUCCGCAAUGGGCGAAAGCCUGACGGAGCAAUGCCGCGUGAGUGAUGAAGGUCUUCGGAUCGUAAAGCUCUGUUAUUAGGGAAGAACAAUUGUAUAAGUAACUAUGCACGUCUUGACGGUACCUAAUCAGAAAGCCACGGCUAACUACGUG
rnacentral:rRNA from 1 species